CACCCACGGAGCUCAGGACGGGUGCCAGAGCCGGGCACGGCACUGUGACUCGUACCUAUGGAGGGACCCUGCCUGUGGAGCUCCAGCGUCAUUUCAUCCAGCUCCUCCUCUACAGGGACAUUCCAUCCAGCUCCUCCUCUACAGACACAUUCCAUGCAGCUCCUCCUCUACAGACACAUUUCAUCCAGCUCCUCCUCUACAGACACAUUUCAUCCAGCUCCUCCUCGACAGACACAUUUCAUUUCAUCCAGCUCCUCCUCCACAGACACAUUUCAUCCAGCUCCUCCUCUACAGGGACAUUCCAUCCAGCUCCUCCUCUACCGACACAUUUCAUCCAGCUCCUCCUCUAGACACAUUCCAUCCAGCUCCUCCUCUACAGACACAUUUCAUCCAGCUCCUCCUCUACAGACACAUUUCAUCCAGCUCCUCCUCUACAGACACAUUUCAUCCAGCUCCUCCUCUACGGGGACAUUCCAUCCAGCUCCUCCUCUACGGGGACAUUCCAUCCAGCUCCUCCUCUACGGGGACAUUUCAUCCAGCUCCUCCUCUACAGGGACAAUCCAUCCAGCUCCUCCUCUACAGGGACAUUUCAUCCAGCUCCUCCCCUACAGGGACAUUUCAUCCAGCUCCUCCUCGACAGACACAUUUCAUCCAGCUCCUCCUCGACAGACACAUUUCAUCCAGCUCCUCCUCUACGGACACAUUUCAUCCAGCUCCUCCUCUACGGACACAUUUCAUCCAGCUCCUCCUCUACGGACACAUUCCAUCCAGCUCCUCCUCCACAGGGACAUUUCAUCCAGCUCCUCCUCUACAGGGACAUUCCACCCAGCUCCUCCUCUACAGGGACAUUCCACCCAGCUCCUCCUCGACAGGGACAUUCCACCCAGCUCCUCCUCGACAGACACAUUCCAUCCAGCUCCUCCUCUACAGACACAUUUCAUCCAGCUCCUCCUCUACAGGCACAUUCCAUCCAGCUCCUCCUCUACAGACACAUUCCAUCCAGCUCCUCCUCUACAGACACAUUUCAUCCAGCUCCUCCUCGACAGACACAUUCCAUCCAGCUCCUCCUCUACAGGGACAUUUCAUCCAGCUCCUCCUCUACAGACACAUUCCAUCCAGCUCCUCCUCUACAGACACAUUCCAUCCAGCUCCUCCUCUACAGGCACAUUCCAUCCAGCUCCUCCUCUACAGGCACAUUCCAUCCAGCUCCUCCUCUACAGACAUAUUUCAUCCAGCUCCUCCUCUACAGGGACAUUCCAUCCAGCUCCUCCUCUACAGGGACAUUUCAUCCAGCUCCUCCUCUACAGGGACAUUCCAUCCAGCUCCUCCUCUACAGGGACAUUCCAUCCAGCUCCUGCUCUACAGGGACAUUCCAUCCAGCUCCUCCUCUACAGACACAUUUCAUCCAGCUCCUCCUCUACAGACACAUUCCACCCAGCUCCUCCUCUACAGACACAUUUCAUCCAGCUCCUCCUCUACAGACACAUUUCAUCCUGCUCCUCCUCUACAGGGACAUUUCAUCCAGCUCCUCCUCUACAGGGACAUUCCACCCAGCUCCUCCUCUACAGGGACAUUCCACCCAGCUCCUCCUCUACAGACACAUUCCAUCCAGCUCCUCCUCUACAGACACAUUCCAUCCAGCUCCUCCUCUACAGACACAUUUCAUCCAGCUCCUCCUCUACAGGGACAUUCCAUCCAGCUCCUCCUCUACAGACACAUUCCAUCCAGCUCCUCCUCGACAGACACAUUCCAUCCAGCUCCUCCUCUACAGACACAUUCCAUCCAGCUCCUCCUCUACGGACACAUUCCAUCCAGCUCCUCCUCUACAGACACAUUCCAUCCAGCUCCUCCUCUACAGACACAUUCCAUCCAGCUCCUCCUCUACAGACACAUUCCAUCCAGCUCCUCCUCUACAGACACAUUCCAUCCAGCUCCUCCUCUACAGACACAUUCCAUCCAGCUCCUCCUCUACAGACACAUUCCAUCCAGCUCCUCCUCUACAGACACAUUUCAUCCAGCUCCUCCUCUGCAGACACAUUCCAUCCAGCUCCUCCUCUACAGGAUACAUUCCAUCCAGCUCCUCCUCUACAGGAUACAUUUCAUCCAGCUACUCCUCUACGGACACAUUUCAUCCAGCUCCUCCUCUACGGACACAUUUCAUCCAGCUCCUCCUCUACAGGGACAUUUCUUCCAGCUCCUCCUCUACAGACACAUUCCAUCCAGCUCCUCCUCUACAGACACAUUUCAUCCAGCUCCUCCUCUGCAGACACAUUCCAUCCAGCUCCUCCUCUACAGACACAUUUCAUCCAGCUCCUCCUCUGCAGACACAUUUCAUCCAGCUCCUCCUCUACGGACACAUUUCAUCCAGCUCCUCCUCUACAGACAGAUUUCAUCCAGCUCCUCCUCUACAGACACACUUCAUCCAGCUCCUCCUCUACAGACAGUUUUCUUCCAGCUCCUUGUCUACAGACACAUUUCAUCCAGCUCCUCCUCUACAGACACAUUCCAUCCAGCUCCUCCUCUACAGACACAUUUCAUCCAGCUCCUCCUCUACAGGGACAUUCCAUCCAGCUCCUCCUCUACAGACACAUUUCAUACAGCUCCUCCUCUACAGAG
rnacentral:lncRNA from 1 species